rnacentral:rRNA from 1 species
CCAACCCGAUGCAAACUGCGAAUACCGGAGAAUGUUAUCACGGGAGACACACGGCGGGUGCUAACGUCCGUCGUGAAGAGGGAAACAACCCAGACCGCCAGCUAAGGUCCCAAAGUCAUGGUUAAGUGGGAAACGAUGUGGGAAGGCCCAGACAGCCAGGAUGUUGGCUUAGAAGCAGCCAUCAUUUAAAGAAAGCGUAAUAGCUCACUGGUCGAGUCGGCCUGCGCGGAAGAUGUAACGGGGCUAAACCAUGCACCGAAGCUGCGGCAGCGACACUCAGGUGUUGUUGGGUAGGGGAGCGUUCUGUAAGCCUGCGAAGGUGGCCUGUGAGGGUUGCUGGAGGUAUCAGAAGUGCGAAUGCUGACAUAAGUAACGAUAAAGCGGGUGAAAAGCCCGCUCGCCGGAAGACCAAGGGUUCCUGUCCAACGUUAAUCGGGGCAGGGUGAGUCGACCCCUAAGGCGAGGCCGAAAGGCGUAGUCGAUGGGAAACGGGUUAAUAUUCCCGUACUUGGUGUUACUGCGAAGGGGGGACGGAGAAGGCUAUGUUGGCCGGGCGACGGUUGUCCCGGUUUAAGCGUGUAGGUGUGUGUUCCAGGUAAAUCCGGUUCACUUUAACACUGAGGCGUGAUGACGAGGCACUACGGUGCUGAAGCAACAAAUGCCCUGCUUCCAGGAAAAGCCUCUAAGCAUCAGGUAACAUCAAAUCGUACCCCAAACCGACACAGGUGGUCAGGUAGAGAAUACCAAGGCGCUUGAGAGAACUCGGGUGAAGGAACUAGGCAAAAUGGUGCCGUAACUUCGGGAGAAGGCACGCUGACACGUAGGUGAAGUGAUUUACUCAUGGAGCUGAAGUCAGUCGAAGAUACCAGCUGGCUGCAACUGUUUAUUAAAAACACAGCACUGUGCAAACACGAAAGUGGACGUAUACGGUGUGACGCCUGCCCGGUGCCGGAAGGUUAAUUGAUGGGGUCAGCGCAAGCGAAGCUCCUGAUCGAAGCCCCGGUAAACGGCGGCCGUAACUAUAACGGUCCUAAGGUAGCGAAAUUCCUUGUCGGGUAAGUUCCGACCUGCACGAAUGGCGUAAUGAUGGCCAGGCUGUCUCCACCCGAGACUCAGUGAAAUUGAACUCGCUGUGAAGAUGCAGUGUACCCGCGGCAAGACGGAAAGACCCCGUGAACCUUUACUAUAGCUUGACACUGAACAUUGAGCCUUGAUGUGUAGGAUAGGUGGGAGGCUUUGAAGUGUGGACGCCAGUCUGCAUGGAGCCGGCCUUGAAAUACCACCCUUUAAUGUUUGAUGUUCUAACGUGGACCCGUGAUCCGGGUUGCGGACAGUGUCUGGUGGGUAGUUUGACUGGGGCGGUCUCCUCCUAAAGAGUAACGGAGGAGCACGAAGGUUGGCUAAUCCUGGUCGGACAUCAGGAGGUUAGUGCAAUGGCAUAAGCCAGCUUGACUGCGAGCGUGACGGCGCGAGCAGGUGCGAAAGCAGGUCAUAGUGAUCCGGUGGUUCUGAAUGGAAGGGCCAUCGCUCAACGGAUAAAAGGUACUCCGGGGAUAACAGGCUGAUACCGCCCAAGAGUUCAUAUCGACGGCGGUGUUUGGCACCUCGAUGUCGGCUCAUCACAUCCUGGGGCUGAAGUAGGUCCCAAGGGUAUGGCUGUUCGCCAUUUAAAGUGGUACGCGAGCUGGGUUUAGAACGUCGUGAGACAGUUCGGUCCCUAUCUGCCGUGGGCGCUGGAGAACUGAGGGGGGCUGCUCCUAGUACGAGAGGACCGGAGUGGACGCAUCACUGGUGUUCGGGUUGUCAUGCCAAUGGCACUGCCCGGUAGCUAAAUGCGGAAGAGAUAAGUGCUGAAAGCAUCUAAGCACGAAACUUGCCCCGAGAUGAGUUCUCCCUGAGACUUUAGGUCUCCUGAAGGAACGUUGAAGACGACGACGUUGAUAGGCCGGGUGUGUAAGCGCAGCGAUGCGUUGAGCUAACCGGUACUAAUGAACCGUGAGGCUUAACCUUACA